rnacentral:rRNA from 1 species
UGUUCCGAUCGCGAUGAUGAUGGCAGUUCUCUGUUAGCGACAUCAUGAGAAGUUCAUUGAACCUUAUCAUUUAGAGGAAGGAGAAGUCGUAACAAGGUUAUCGUAGGUGAACCUACGGUAGGAUCAUU